GGCUACCUAGCGCAAUGGUAGCGCGUUUGGCUUCGAUGCCGAGCGGCUGCUUAUGUAAUACAUAUUACGUAAUACCAAAAGGUUGCAGGUUCGAGUCCUGCGGUGGUCA